UGGCUGAGUGGUAAAGCGCUUGGCUUCCGUACCAGGGGUCCUGGGUUCGAAUCCUGG
rnacentral:tRNA from 1 species